rnacentral:rRNA from 1 species
CCUACGGGAGGCAGCAGUGGGGGAUAUUGCACAAUGGGGGGAACCCUGAUGCAGCGACGCCGCGUGGGUGAAGGAGUGCUUCGGCAUGUAAAGCCCUAUCGGCAGGGAAGAAGCAAGACGGUACCUGACUAAGAAGCCCCGGCUAACUACGUGCCAGCAGCCGCGGUAAUACGUAGGGGGCGAGCGUUAUCCGGAUUCACUGGGUGUAAAGGGAGCGUAGACGGCCAUGCAAGCCAGGGGUGAAAGCCCGGGGCCCAACCCCGGGACUGCCCUUGGAACUGUGCGGCUAGAGUGCGGGAGGGGCAGGCGGAAUUCCUGGUGUAGCGGUGAAAUGCGUAGAUAUAUGGAAGAACACCAGUGGCGAAGGCGGCCGCCUGGCCUGUUACUGACGCUGAGGCACGAAAGCGUGGGGAGCAAAUAGGAUUAGAUACCCUUGUAGUC